rnacentral:rRNA from 1 species
GGGAUAACCCGGAGAAAUCCGGCCUAAUACCGCAUGUGGCCGAGGGGAGGCAUCUUCUUUCGGCCAAAGGAGGCGACUCCGGAGACGGAUGGGCAUGCGUGACAUUAGCUUGUUGGCGGGGUAACGGCCCACCAAGGCGACGAUGUCUAGGGGUUCUGAGAGGAAGGUCCCCCACACUGGUACUGAGACACGGACCAGACUCCUACGGGAGGCAGCAGUGAGGAAUAUUGGUCAAUGGGCGAGAGCCUGAACCAGCCAAGUCGCGUGAAGGAUGACGGCCCUACGGGUUGUAAACUUCUUUUGUCAGGGAGCAAUUGAGUCCACGUGUGGGCUUAGCGAGAGUACCUGAAGAAAAAGCAUCGGCUAACUCCGUGCCAGCAGCCGCGGUAAUACGGAGGAUGCGAGCGUUAUCCGGAUUUAUUGGGUUUAAAGGGUGCGUAGGCGGAAUAUCAAGUCAGCGGUAAAAAUUCGGGGCUCAACCCCGUCGUGCCGUUGAAACUGAUGUUCUUGAGUGGGCGAGAAGUAUGCGGAAUGCGUGGUGUAGCGGUGAAAUGCAUAGAUAUCACGCAGAACUCCGAUUGCGAAGGCAGCAUACCGGCGCCCAACUGACGCUGAAGCACGAAAGCGUGGGUAUCGAACAGGAUUAGAUACCCUGGUAGUCCACGCAGUAAACGAUGAAUGCUAAUUGUCCGGA